rnacentral:misc_RNA from 1 species
GAAAUGCGAUAAGUAAUGUGAAUUGCGGAAUUCCGUGAAUCAUCGAAUCUUUGAACGCACAUUGCGCCCUCUGGCAUUCCUGGGGGCAUGCCUGUCCGAGCGUCAUUACGCACCCUCAAGCCCGGCUUGUGUGAUGGGCCCUGGCGUCUCGUUCGCGAGACGGGCCCGAAAGGCAGCGGCGGCGUCGACCCGAUGAGCCCGAGCGUAUGGGGACUUUUGUCACACGUUUGCGGUGCGGACCGGCGCCUGCUUGACUUUUCUGAUUAUCCAGGUUGACCUCGGAUCAGGUAGGGAUACCCGCUGAACUUAAGC